GCCAGCAUGGUAUAGUGGUUUGAGCAUUGGACUACAACUCUGGAGACCAGGGGUCAAAUCUCUGCUUUGCCA